ACUCAAAUAGCUUAUAUUUAGAGCGUGACACUGAAGAUGUUAAGGAAAUAAAUUUAUUUUUGAGUA
rnacentral:tRNA from 1 species